GAAUUGCGAUAAGUAAUGUGAAUUGCAGAUCUCAGUGAAUCAUCGAAUCUUUGAACGCACCUUGCGCUCCUUGGUAUUCCGAGGAGCAUGCCCGUUUGAGUAUCGUGACGUCCUCGACCCGAUCGGUUUUUGUUCUACAGAGCCGGUCGCGUGUCGGAGUUGGGGGUUGUGCCGGGUCGCCUCGUUCGACUCGGCUCCCCUGAAAUGCAUGAGCGGAUAACCCUGUCGGUCCGAGAUGGGAUAAUAUUUUUGAUCAUCUCGAGUCUCUUUCAGGUCGGAUCUGCCCAACCGUGUUCAUUCACGCCUUUUGAAGUGAUCUCAAAUCGGGUAGGACUACCCGCUGAACUUAA
rnacentral:misc_RNA from 1 species